UCUCGAUUAUCCGAUAGAUAAGACGUCAAUAUCAAUUGAAUUACAAUUUUUAAAGAAUAUUAAAACAUAAAAUUCUAAAUUUUAAUUCGUAGAAAUCAAAUCAUCAUUUCUUGACUGCAAAUAUUCUCGAAUCUGCAAUAACUAGCAGAUGAGAAUGUAAAAUAAAACGAACAACUUACUUUCUUCGUGUUCCAUACUCUCGUAACGAAUUUUCAAUUGCCAUUAGAAGAAAAGCAGGAAAUCGAAAGAUGUAUUUCGAGGUUAUGUUCACUGCGUAACAUUUGCAACGAACACUGCGACAUGGAGGACGAUCGAAGGAUCUCGAGACUUACGUAAAACCCUUCGCGCUCGAUCGAAUUUCCUGACCACCCGGCGACAGUCUAUACGACCAUGUACGCCUAUUACGUCGCCUUUACGAUCUCCUCGUAAACGUCCAGGCCCGCGAAAUUGAUAGACCACUACGUUACACGAACGAACACACCCGUACACGCGAUAGUCCCAUCGUGGCAGCACGUACGAUGUCUUCUUUCAACUCGCAAGAUCGUUCCUCUACCGUAUUCUCGAUUUCUAUCGUAAAAGGUCGAUAAUCAAUAGGACAAUCGAUUUUUCAAAUAGACCUGAAACGAGUCGCAUAAAGACAUUCGAACAAAAUGGCGUUUUGUGUCGUAACGAAAGUUAUCUUGUCCAUCUAUUCAAAACUACGAAACGAUAGAAAAAGAAUAUUUCAUAGUUCGAGAUUAUUUGUUUCCUGUUUCACGUUGAAUUAUAUAUAAAAAAAGAGAUAACAAUGCCGAGUCGAGACGAAACGCAAUCGAUGCCAGGCCACUGUUUUUCUCCUGUCUUUGAACGUGUGAAUGCCUUCGCCAUAUCGCAUCAAGGACGGAUUGCCUCUUUCAUAGUGUUUUCGUGAGACGAAUUUCUGGAACGUUGUCUCUUUACAACCGUGUGAAAAGAUCGAAACGGAAAUAAAAUCCUUCUCACUCCUAAAAAUCCAUUUUACUACCGUCCAUGUUGGAAAUUCCUUACACGGAGGACGAAUAUCCUCAAAUAAUAUUCAAAAAGAAGCCCUUUGGAGAAAUGGCGGGUGAUUGAUGUCAAACACACAACACAGAUCACCCUGGGGGAUCGACGAUCCCGUUUCACCAACGACCUCGACUCAUCAAGGACAAUCCUUAUCGGGGGUAAUAGACACGAAGGAUUUUGCGAUGAAGCGAAGCAACAGAAAAACAAAAUCUAACGAUGAAUCGAGAGAGUAUCCUCGAGCAAAUGGGAGCACCCUCGUCAACCACAAUUUUCCAUCGAGUUCUGUCUUCUUACUGUCAAGGUCGAGGCAGAUUGUCACAGCGAGGAGGGCACGAUGAUUAUCGCGUAUUCCGUCGACUAUGGAUCUCUGUCGACUACUGAGAAAAUCUUCUCGAAGGGAUGCCAGAUUAUCGCGAUUGUUGCUCGAAUUACUUCUGACUUGAGCAAGAAGUUUGUCUGUGGUUCGAUAAUAAUGGCUGCCAAUGUUUAUAUUAUAACAAAUAUUAUGUUGUGUCGUGGUACGGUUUCGACGAUUGGAUGCUUAUCUUUGAUCAUUUUAUUCUAAGUAAUUUCGUAGAAAUAUUUUUUGGCUUAUUCUUAAUGUUUCUUACA
rnacentral:lncRNA from 1 species